CUUGAGAAUUACUAUUUUACAUGGCCCAAUUAUAAGGUCGACAAGCAAAACCCGCUGAUAACUAAAUUUUCUGUCAAUAUAAUUCGAAUUCGCUUUACAACUUCCACAAAUGUCAAUAAUACUUGCUUUCUUUGUCAAAACAUUUAUUAUUUACAUUCGAAAAAAAUGAAAAUAUGAAAGAAAAGGGGUUUUUUGAAUUAACUCCAUGCUGCUGACACUGUGGAGACCCAAUAAUGGCUCGAUGGCACCAGGAACAUUCUUUCCUCUCCUUUAGAGUUAGAGGAGGCUGUGGAAGUGGCGUACAUCGGGUAUCAACCUUUUCCCAAAUAAAUGUGUAAAAAGGGCGAACAAAAAGGAUAACCAACACUAAAUUUGUCGGCGAUAAGGGCAACAGUAGAGAUGCUAGGGUAGCCUAACCCUGAAUUGAGCUCGAUUCGGAGUUCUGUACCUAUUCCGCAAAUACGGUAAGUCAAACUAACUCUAAAUCCUUUUGUUUAGCCUUUCCUAAUAAUCUCUCUUUCUUUUCUUUUCAUAUGCGGAAUCUAAUUAAUUGGCUUGUCGUCCGUCGGUCUGUCCGAGUAUGUUGUAAGAUUGUCUAUUGGGAUCGAGAAUAAUACCCAUGCAUGCCAGUCUGGUCAUGCAUAAACACUGCGCCUCCCUCGGUGGAUUGAACGGUGUUGAGUGGACUCCCGGUGUGGCCUCCAGUCGUUGUUGAUGUUGCUUUUGUCUUGGCGUUCCUUUGAGUUUUUAAAGUCUUUAUGUAUUGGUAUUAUUUUUUCAUAUUUUAAGCAGUGUUUAUUUCCUGUUUUUUUUUUUUUUUGUAUUACAGUUUUUCUUACAGCUUUGCUUUCGCUUUAAUUUUUCUUUAAAGCACUAUUUUGUAAGAGCUAUAUGUGUUAAUAUAGUUAUAUUUAGCUCAUUAUUUUGCUUAGUUAAAUAUAAUUAGUUGUGCCAAUAUUAGGUAAUAAUAAUAAUAGCAUUGAUUUUGAUUUAUUAAUAAAAAUUA